rnacentral:ncRNA from 1 species
UAAUGAUACAGAUAUAAGAUAUGCUGUAUACCCGUGGCUCCGAAUUAGCGUUUAAGCGAUAUGUAAUAUCGUCGUCCAUGGGGACCACCCGAAAGGGUGGUUUUUUUACUAU